rnacentral:lncRNA from 1 species
CUUGAGCACAAUAAACCCAUUGGCUGGUGUCCCUGAGCGAUCAGACGGGCUGUGAGCUGCGCUAGGUGUGGGCGCUGUCUGUUGGGAGAGGCGCUAGGCUUUGAGUUCAGAUUCAUCCUCGCGCAGUCCCCGUGCCCCCCCUGGGUUGGGACAGCACCUGGCGCUCGGGACAACAGGCAGCCACCGAGCGAGCAGGGCACCAUGUCUCCUCUCCGCGCUGUUCUGUUCUCCCUGCUCUUCAUCGCCUCCUCGCUGGCCCAGGACGUGCAGGGCACCACAGACGGCUCCAGGAUGCUGCAGCCCUGGCUGGUGGGGCUGACGGCCGUCGUGGUCUUCCUCUUCAUCGUCGUCGUGCUGAUGAUCAUCAACAGAGUCUGGUGCUACAAGAAGCGCAGGAAUGAGGAGGAGCCGCUGGGAGAACCUGCCCAAUCCAGCAGGACGGUCUCCAACUUCUACAACAACCUAGCGCUGGAGGAGGACAGCGAGGAGGAGCAGAAGGGGAAGAAGGAGAAUAAAACGACCUCCCUGUGAGGAGCCUGCGAGCCCGGCGGGGUGGGAGACCACGGAACUGCUGCCGCCACCAUCACGGUGCCCCCCCUGCGCUGCCCGGCACAGAAAUCAACUCGCUGCUUCCCCGCGUCUCUGCCCAGCUCCGCCCGGCCCCUCCCUGGCCCAGCACAGAAGAGCAGCUGGCCUGACCCACCCAGCAACCUUCCCUGGGCCAGGCAGGCCUCUCCUGCGUGCUGCUAUGCAGGGCCCAGGGGUGCAGCGGGCACGGAUGCCCCCUCACUACCCUGUGCAGGACAGGCCCCCUCUCCCCUUCCCUGGUCGUUUGGCCUUGGUGGGGCAGGCAGCCAGAGCCAGUCCCUGGAGGGGAUUCUCCCCAAAGCCCCCCGCCAGCACCGCAGCGCCCCCUGCAGGGGGGUCCGGGUUGGGCCUUGCGCGGGCUGAGCAUGCGGUGCAGGAGCCCGUGGACUGCAGUGGGGAGGGAGCAGAAUAAUCUCCCUGCGUCUCUGAGCCCGGCUAGGCCACGGGCACCGGUGCCAUGCGCUGCCCCCUGCGCUGCCCAGCUGGGCUGAAAAGUUUAUAGCGCUGAUUGGUGCCACCUGCUGGCAAGACUGUGCCAUGACAGCUAGGAGGGAAAGCGGAGAAAC